ACUAACGCGAACCCUAGGUUUUGCUCCUCCCUUCUCUCGUUGCCUCGCCCACCCCCACUCCCCCGUCUGCCACCUCCGCUACACACCCGAAGGGUGAGAAGGCAAGGAGGAAGGGGAAGAUGCUGGCGAGGCCCGGGCUCCGGUCCCGGUCUGUCGUCUACCCCUAUCCAACCCCGACCCAAUCCAAUGAAGUAGAUUCCCCAUCAAGCAGCUGCCAGCGACCCCAAUCCACCGCCGGCCAGCGACCCCAACCCCGGCCAUGACUCCAUCGUCGCGCCACCUCCCCUCCAUGACUGGAGAUCCACUCGAGCUCCUCCUCUCCAAUCCCUUCGCUGACGACGACACCCAACCCCACACCCACCGACGACUGUCUCCCCCAACCCCAUCACCACCGAAGACCUUAGGUUUGACUCGCAGGCGGGCGGGGUGACAGCGCCCAAAACCGUAGCUCCUCACCUACUCACCCAUGGAUGGAUGGAUGGAUGGGGACGGGGCAAUGACGCGGUGGAUCCACAGCCGCAACCACCUUCUCUCGAUGGGGACCUCGACACCGACGAACACCACUUCUACCUCGGACUCCAUGAUGUAAUCUCUAGCGAGACUUCAUCUCCGACCGUGGACAAGGAAGCCCUCGUCCCCAUGGUUGUUGCUGCUUCAAGUGGACAAGGAAACCCUGACGGUGACGGACGUGGUGUGUGUUGAUUAAAGGGUCUGCGUGAUGGAGGUUGGCAACAUAGACGAUUCAACGAUGAAGGUGGAGACAGAGGCGAGCCAUUCAUAGGGCCGGUCUUCGGUUCCCUGACCCUGACCCCGGGCGGCGUCGCCUCCUCGGCGAGGUAGUUGGGCCUCAAGAACAGCAUCGAGACCAACUUCGACGACGACCAUGUCUUUCAGAUAGCUUCUUGCCAGGAGAUCUCAACGCUCGAUGUGUCUCCGUCGACGAACGCACUGAAGUUCUAUUCUCCAGCAACUAGACAUUAUCUGGGGGACUGCACAAGCC